UACGUAGGGUGCAAGCGUUGUCCGGAAUUAUUGGGCGUAAAGAGCUCGUAGGCGGUCUGUCGCGUCUGCUGUGAAAACUCGGGGCUUAACCCCGGGCCUGCAGUGGGUACGGGCAGACUAGAGUGCGGUAGGGGAGACUGGAAUUCCUGGUGUAGCGGUGAAAUGCGCAGAUAUCAGGAGGAACACCGGUGGCGAAGGCGGGUCUCUGGGCCGAUACUGACGCUGAGGAGCGAAAGCGUGGGGAGCGAACAGGAUUAGA
rnacentral:rRNA from 1 species